GAUGACGGCCUUCGGGUUGUAAACCUCUUUCACCAUCGACGAAGGUCCGGGUUCUCUCGGAUUGACGGUAGGUGGAGAAGAAGCACCGGCCAACUACGUGCCAGCCGCCGCGGUAAUACGUAGGGUGCGAGCGUUGUCCGGAAUUACUGGGCGUAAAGAGCUCGUAGGUGGUUUGUCGCGUUGUUCGUGAAAUCUCACGGCUUAACUGUGAGCGUGCGGGCGAUACGGGCAGACUAGA
rnacentral:rRNA from 1 species